rnacentral:rRNA from 1 species
UACGUAGGGUGCGAGCGUUAAUCGGAAUUACUGGGCGUAAAGCGUGCGCAGGCGGCUUCGCAAGUCGACUGUGAAAUCUCCGGGCUUAACCCGGAAAGGUCAGCCGAUACUGCGGGGCUAGAGUGCAGAAGGGGCAACUGGAAUUCUCGGUGUAGCGGUGAAAUGCGUAGAUAUCGAGAGGAACACCUGCGGCGAAGGCGGGUUGCUGGGCUGACACUGACGCUGAGGCGCGAAAGCUAGGGGAGCGAACGGG